rnacentral:lncRNA from 11 species
AGUGAAACGAGCUAGCAAUAGGUAACACCUGAGAACCUAGCCUAUAAGGAGCUCAAGUGUUGCUGGCAGCCUCAGUUUUUGAAGCUGUGACCUCAGACUGUUGCUUAUCUUGGAUUCAUGAUCUCUGGACUUACUCUUGAACUCUGGGUCUCAGAUUUUGGAUUGAUCAUGGACUCUAGACUCUCUUGAAUUUGCUUUUGACCUUGGAACAGACUAUUGGCUUCUUUCAUGUGUUAAUCUGCUGUUAUCUCUCAACUGGACUCUUUGAUUUGACCUCAGACUGUUGAGGCUUGUGACAAGGACAAUGGAUCCUUCAUGAGCCUGGAGAGAAAAACCAGGAGACCCAAGAAAACUACAGUACACUGAGAUACAGGACAAGGUACAUGAAAAGUAUGAAUGACUCAUUUUAUACUGAUGUCAGUGAUUCAGGACCCAUGUUGAAACGGAG